rnacentral:rRNA from 1 species
AUCAACUUUCGAUGGUAGGAUAGAGGCCUACCAUGGUGGUAACGGGUAACGGGGUGUUAGGGCACGACACCGGAGAGGGAGCCUGAGAAACGGCUACCACAUCCAAGGAUGGCAGCAGGCGCGCAAAUUACCCAAUCCCGACACGGGGAGGUAGUGACAAUAAAUAACAAUACGGGGUCCUUUCGGGUUUCGUAAUUGGAAUGAGUACAAUUUAAAUCUCUUAACGAGGAACAAUUGGAGGGCAAGUCUGGUGCCAGCAGCCGCGGUAAUUCCAGCUCCAAUAGCGUAUAUUAAAGUUGUUGCAGUUAAAAAGCUCGUAGUUGAAUUUCGGGGUUAGCAAGUUGGUCGUGCCAAUUGGUAUGCACUGGCUUUGCUGAUUCCUCCUUCUUGAAGAACUGUGAUGCUAUUAAUUUGGUGUUGCAGGGAAACAGGACUGUUACUUUGAAAAAAUUAGAGUGUUUAAAGCAGGCUAACGCUUGAAUACAUUAGCAUGGAAUAAUGAAAUAGGACGUUUGAUCCUAUUUUGUUGGUUUCUAGGAUUGACGUAAUGAUUAAUAGGGAUAGUUGGGGGCAUUAGUAUUCAAUUGUCAGAGGUGAAAUUCUUGGAUUUAUUGAAGACUAACUACUGCGAAAGCAUUUGCCAAGGAUGUUUUCAUUAAUCAAGAACGAAAGUUAGGGGAUCGAAGACGAUCAGAUACCGUCGUAGUCUUAACCAUAAACUAUGCCGACUAGGGAUCGGAUGAUGUUAAUUUUUUAAUGACUCAUUCGGCGCCUUACGGGAAACCAAAGUGUUUGGGUUC